rnacentral:rRNA from 1 species
UACGGAGGGUGCAAGCGUUAUCCGGAUUCACUGGGUUUAAAGGGCGCGUAGGCGGCUUGGCAAGUGGAAGGUGAAAUCCCUCGGCUUAACCGAGGAACUGCCCUCCAAACUGCUUUGCUUGAGGCCGGGAGAGGCGAGUGGAAUUCCCAGUGUAGCGGUGAAAUGCGUAGAUAUUGGGAGGAACACCAGUGGCGAAGGCGGCUCGCUGGACCGGUUCUGACGCUGAGGCGCGAAAGCGUGGGGAGCAAACGGG